rnacentral:rRNA from 1 species
AUUGAACGCUGGCGGCAGGCCUAACACAUGCAAGUCGAACGGAGCGGCGGUGGGGGGAGUAAUACUUAGGAAUCUGCCUGGUAGUGGGGGAUAACGACCGGAACCGGGCGCUAAUACCGCAUACUAUCAGAUGAGCCUAGGUCGGAUUAGCUAGAUGGUGGGGUAAAGGCCUACCAAGGCGACGAUCCGUAACUGGUCUGAGAGGAUGAUCAGUCACACUGGAACUGAGACACGGCCCAGACUCCUACGGGAGGCAGCAGUGGGGAAUAUUGCACAAUGGGCGCAAGCCUGAUGCAGCCAUGCCGCGUGUAUGAAGAAGGCCUUCGGGUUGUAAAGUACUUUCAGUCGGGAGGCGUUACCGACAGAAGAAGCACCGGCUAACUCCGUGCCAGCAGCCGCGGUAAUUC